rnacentral:rRNA from 1 species
ACGGGGGGAGGAAAGUAGGGGAUCGCAAGACCUAUCGUUUUCGGAGUGGCCGAUAUCAGAUUAGCUAGUUGGUGAGGUAAAGGCUCACCAAGGCGACGAUCUGUAGCUGGCCUGAGAGGACGACCAGCCACACUGGGACUGAGACACGGCCCAGACUCCUACGGGAGGCAGCAGUGGGGAAUUUUGGACAAUGGGGGCAACCCUGAUCCAGCCAUGCCGCGUGAGUGAAGAAGGCCUUCGGGUUGUAAAGCUCUUUCAGACGGAAAGAAAUCGCUAUUCCUAAUAUGAGUGGUGGAUGACGGUACCGUCAGAAGAAGCACCGGCUAACUACGUGCCAGCAGCCGCGGUAAUACGUAGGGUGCGAGCGUUAAUCGGAAUUACUGGGCGUAAAGCGUGCGCAGGCGGUUUUGUAAGACAGACGUGAAAUCCCCGGGCUUAACCUGGGAACUGCGUUUGAAACUACAAAGCUAG